rnacentral:tRNA from 1 species
GCGGUGGUAGCUCAGUAGGGUAAGUGCCCGUUUCUCACGCCAGAGAUGCGGGUUCGAAUCCCGCCGCUGACA